GCGUCGGUGGUGCAGCGGUUUAGCACAUGUUCCCGGAAAGAGUAAGAUCUGGGUUCGAAUUCCGGCCGACGUA